rnacentral:rRNA from 1 species
CCAAUCGAACUCGGAGAUAGCUGGUUCUCCCCGAAAUAGCUUUAGGGCUAGCCUCGAUUUAGAUUACCGGGGGUAGAGCACUGAAUGGGCUAGGGGGCCACAAAGCUUACCGAACCCUAUCAAACUUCGAAUACCGGAUAAUUGAUGAUCGGGAGUCAGACAGUGUGAGAUAAGUUUCAUUGUCGAAAGGGAAACAGCCCAGAUCUACGACUAAGGUCCCAAAGUUCAAGUUAAGUGGAAAAGGAUGUGCAAUUGCGUAGACAACCAGGAUGUUGGCUUAGUAGCAGCCAUUCAUUCAAAGAGUGCGUAAUAGCUCACUGGUCGAGUGAUUGUGCGCCGAAAAUGUAACGGGGCUAAACUUGACACCGAAGUCUAGGCAGAAGGAAACUUCUGGGUAGGGGAGCAACGUGUACGGGCAGAAGCAGAAGCGGAAGCGACUGUGGACUGUACAGGAGAGAGAAUGCCGGCAUGAGUAGCGAGAGCAAAGUGAGAAUCUUUGCCGUCGAAAGCCUAAGGUUUCCUGAGGAAGGCUCGUCCUCUCAGGGUAAGUCGGGACCUAAGCCGAGGACAAUAGUCGUAGGCGAUGGACAAUCGGUUAAUAUUCCGAUACCGCCGAGCAACCGGAUGCAGUGACACAGAAGGAUAGGCAGAGCGUGGCGAUGGUAGACCACGUCCAAGCAGUGAGGCUGUUGUGUAGUGAAGUACGCACAACGUAAGGCUGGGCUGUGAUGGGGAACGAUUACGAUCGGUAAGCUGCUGAAUUCACGCUGGCGAGAAAAGCUGCUACGAAGCGAAGGCGCCCGUACCGCAAACCGACACAGGUAGGCGAGGAGAGAAUCCUAAGACGAGCGGGAGAACCCUUGUUAAGGAACUCGGCAAAAUGACUCCGUAACUUAGGGAGAAGGAGUGCCCAGGAAUGGGCCGCAGAGAAUAGACCCAAGCGACUGUUUACCAAAAACACAGGUCUGUGCGAAGUAGAGAUACGACGUAUACGGGCUGACACCUGCCCAGUGCCGGAAGGUUAAGGGGAAAUGUUAGGGCAACCGAAGCAUGGAACUUAAGCCCCGGUGAACGGCGGCCGUAACUAUAACGGUCCUAAGGUAGCGAAAUUCCUUGUCGGGUAAG